UUAAUAGUACGAAUGCAUAACUGAAGUGAACAAGGGUGUCCUGAUGUCUUGGCAGUGGGGAAAGUACCUAAGUAAACAAAACUGUAAUUCUUAAAAAAAAAAGUCAAACGAGUGCUGGAUGUUAAUCUACACAGAUUUCUUCCCUGAAUGGUUUAUUUGGCUAAGUAAAGCACUUCCGUUUAUUUACAAUAAACUUAUAAUUUCCAGUAUUUUGUCCAAAGAUUGGGAAUCUGGAGGGGCAUUACACACUCAAAGGCAAUGCCAGCAGCCCAACACUGGACCGCACACUGGCUCUCCACACUGGGGUGAAGUGGGUCCAGAGGCAGAGCACACACCACAGGGCGAGAAGAGCCGCUACAGCAGCCCUGCACAACAACACACACUACAGUCAGUACAGCUGUGUGUGUGUGUAUGUGUGUGUGUGUGUGUGUGUUUGUGCAUGUCUGUGUG
rnacentral:lncRNA from 1 species